UCAUUCCCCUAAAGCAUGUUAAACCUAACGCCCUAAGCCCAUAAACGGUAUGUGAAGAUGCAUACUACGGGAUCGUGUACUUGUACAAAUGAUAAUCUCACAGGAGAUUAUUAAUUAUAAGAAGGAGAAGAGGUUCCCUCUGAAUAAGAAAUAGGAAUAAGAGGGCAUGCUUAUU
ncrna:unclassified sequences RAGATH-9 RNA